rnacentral:sRNA from 1 species
CUGCCAACCUAUCUAUCGCUGCCAAUUUAUCUACCACUGCCAAUCUAUCUAUCGCUGCUAAUCUAUCGCUGCCAACCUAUCUACCGCGGCGAAUCUAUCCAUCGCUGCCAAUUUAUCUACCACUGUCAAUCUAUCUAUUGCUGCUAAUCUAUUGCUGCUAAUCUAUUGCUGCUGCCAAUCUAUCUAUCACUGCUAAUCUAUUGCUGCUAAUCUAUCGCUGCUAAUCUAUCGCUGCUAAUCUAUCGCUGCCAACCUAUCUACCGCGGCGAAUCUAUCUAUUGCUGCCAACCAACCUACCACUGCCAACCAACCUACCACUGCCAACCUAUCUAUCGCUGCCAAUCUAUCGCUGCCAACCUAUCUACUGCAGUGAAUCUAUCUAUCACUAUCAUUACUAGUUCAAAAUAGAACUAGAGCAUAAAUACACUAAACUUCUUUUGAUAGGUAAUGAUUUUUGGUAACACUCAUAGCAUUAUAUCAUCUAUAUAGGGUAAAUCAUGGUCCCAUUUGGUCCCAUUUUAACAAAAUGGGACCAAAUGAGAUCAGAAUCAGUAAUUUAUAAGAAGAACAUGAUCUGAGACUAGAUUUAUAAUAUAAACAGUGUAAAGUGACUAAUUUGAUAAACACUAUAUAAGAUCAGAACUAAGAAAUUUGAUAA